AGCGAACGCUGGCGGCGUGCUUAACACAUGCAAGUCGAGGGAGAACGGUUGGCUUCGGCCUUCCUAGUAAACCGGCGCACGGGUGAGUAACACGUAGGUAACCUACCUUCGAGACUGGGAUAACCCAUCGAAAGAUGAGCUAAUACCAGAUAUGACCACGGGAGUUUCGGCUUCCGCGGUGAAAGAUGGCCUCUGCUUGCAAGCUAUCACUCGAGGAUGGGGCCUGCGCGCCAUUAGCUAGUUGGUGGGGUAACGGCCCACCAAGGCUACGAUGGCUAGUUGGUCUGAGAGGAUGACCAGCCACACUGGGACUGAGACACGGCCCAGACUCCUACGGGAGGCAGCAGUGGGGAAUAUUGC
rnacentral:rRNA from 1 species